rnacentral:lncRNA from 1 species
AGCAACCUCUCUAUCUCUAAGUAGGGGUAACGUAUGUAUAUGGGAUUACACUGGGAAUAUUGUUGUUCUAAGCCGAGUGACUGUUGUAAGCAACCUCUCUAUCUCUAUCUCUUUCUCAUCUGAUACUGAAUGACAUGUUGAAGGUUUGGCAGGACUAUCAUACACUCGUAUGUAGCUUUCUUGUGGUAGAUUUUUAGCAUCUUGAUUU